rnacentral:rRNA from 1 species
UGGGGAAUAUUGCACAAUGGAGGGAACUCUGAUGCAGCGACGCCGCGUGAGUGAUGAAGGAAUUCGUUUCGUAAAACUCUGUUCUAUGGGAAGAAAAGGACUGUACCAUAGGAGAAAGCUCCGGCUAAAUACGUGCCAGCAGCCGCGGUAAUACGUAUGGAGCUAGCGUUGUCCGGAAUUAUUGGGCGUAAAGGUUGCGCAGGCGGCUUUACAAGUUGGAUGUGAAAUAUUGUGGCUCAACCACAAACGUGCAUCGAAAACUGCAAAGCUUGAGUUAAGGAGAGGUAAGUGGAAUUCCUGGUGUAGCGGUGGAAUGCGUAGAUAUAAGGAGGAAUACCGGUGGCGAAGGCGACUUACUGGACUUAAACUGACGAUCAGGCACGAAAGAGUGGGGAGCAAACAGG